UCCCAUCAGAAAGGAGCAGACAUUUGGCUGCUGUCCAGCCUAGGGCUUCACAAUUCCAGCUUGAUAAAGCCUUGGAGGGUUUCUUUCUCUCUGGGAAUCCACUUCCUUAAUCACCAACACUUCAGAGCUAAUUACACUGAUUUAAUGCACCUGGCUUUCUCUUGCACUUAAACCCUCAAUGGGAGAGGAAAUACUCUGACCAAUCAGCAUUUAUUGGAAAGCCAUGAAACCAAUGAGGCAUAACUGGCCAUGAAAAGGGAGUUUUAUAAAAUAGUAGAGGAUUCCCAGGCGAUGCAUUCUUAAUGCCCUGAUACCUGUUCAGAAGGUUGAACCUCCAAAGCCAAAGAAACUGCUAUGUUAAUCUGUCACAGUAGUAGAGAAAAAAUAAAUAAAUGAAAAAUAAAAAAGAAACUGCUAUGUAUUAAUCUGCCCACACUUUCAAGGCUCUGAUUACCCACAAUAUGACUUAAAUGGUUCAACCUGAAAAGUGCCACUUCUCUCAAGGCAGAAGGAUUUAAGCAAAGGAAGGUACAUCUACCAACCUCCCAAGAUAAAGCAAAACGAUUUCAGAUUAUUAGGAUGCUUGGCUAAAAAAUGCACAUGAUGUCAACGUACCCACAGUAACAAGCUCGUGGUAACAAAUGGGACCCUCUCCUGACUGACACUGCAUACUAC
rnacentral:lncRNA from 10 species